CUGCACCAGCACGUCCCCAGCAAGCCCGCGGACUAUUACACCUGCGCCUUCCGCAGGUCCAAGCUGGACAAGUUCCUGGGCAGCGACUCCCGGGACUCCUACUUCAGCAACACGCAGAGACAUCGCAUCGUCUAUGAGAUCCUGGCUCGCACCAUCUACGGGAAGCGGACACGUGCCGAGAU